UGUAUUUAUUAUUUCCGACCAACGUUCUCGCGGCGUAUGAAUAUCAUUAAAAUGCGAGUUGGAAAAUUACAGAAGAAAAAAAUACAUUUCAACAAAUUUAUAAACUUAUUAAUGUGAUUCGAGGAAAAAUUGCAUUAGUAAACCAAUGCAAUUUCGAUGUAUGUGGUAAUGCAAACUCGAGACAAUUUUAAAUGAGUUUGAUUGACGAUUAUCUCCAUGAAAAUAAAUCUUCGUGGACGUACAGGAGGUAUCACACGUAUUCACUUCGAUUAAUAAUCUUUGAAAGUUGUUAUGGCGCACGAUAAUAAUGAUUUUAGGAAUAAUAUUACUGUAUCUAAGCAAUAGGAUAAAGUACUUGGUUCGAACUGAGUGGGUUUAACGUUGACGUUGUUACCUCCUCUCGUACAGUCGAGUUAAUAGGUACAUUAUUAAAUGCAAUAAUAAAUUCACGGUUGGCUCGAUCUCUCGUUUUAAAAAUUAGAAUUUUUUUCGCUCUACAGAUCACUUGAUUUUUUUACACAUUGUAUCCUUGUAGCAUUCGAUACUUCAGUCGUUCACGCAAUAAUCGAAUAAGUCAAACACUCAAUGGCGAUUCGCGACGAAAUCAACACAUGAAAUUUAUCGUAGAAAAAUUAUACCGACGUCGUCGCAAUCACGUGCACAGAUGUUAAAAAGAGUCUCGUUAUAUAUUCACACUAGUACUUGUAAGAAUAAUCAGACGCGUGCGAAAAAUAUCUAUAGUAACAAUGGUUAGUUAUACAAGAAGCGGUUGAAAUAAUUUACCUGAUGAAAGUGAACGUUAUCCUCAAAAAGUAUCCAGUCGAAGAAAUCGUUUUAAUUAAUAUAUACAAUAACUAUUAAGAAAAUUAUAUAGAACUAUUUAAUAAAAGCGGAAAACUAGAAGUCUUAGAACUCUAUGAAUAAGGCGAUUAAUAUCAAUGUAAAAUCAUUUAUAUACUAUUGAAAAAGUCAUAUCAUAUGGUUUUAUUGGAAAAGAAGUUCACUGAUAAGUUUUUGGUGACGAUUAGAACCGAACUAACUUCCACGAUAGUCACACGGUGAUCAAUAGCUGCAAUUUAAACAUAAACAUUACAGAAAUAAUAAAGAUUACAACAUUCGGCCUUCCUGACAAAAUACAAAAUAACAAUAAAAAAAGGCUUUGAUUCGAAGAUGAGAAAGUAUUAAUUUAUUAAUGUGUUUGAUAUGUUUUUUUUGUGUGUGUUGCAACUUUUUCUCAGCUUUCUACGGGCCGAUUUCUUUCAACGAUACGUCAAAAGAUCACAAAAAGUCGGAUUACCCUCAUUCAAAUGGAGGAAAUACCUCAAAAAAUUACGAUUUUUUAAAUCAGUAAGUUUUUUUAAACUUUUUCUUAAAGCAGUCAUUAUUUUUUAUAAAAAUAACUUUUUUUACAUAAAUACCUUAGCUAUCUCCCUUUCAUCUGUUUUACAUUUUUUUAAAAACUGAUAUUUUACUUAUAUUAUGAACUAUAAAUUUACAAAAACAUGUCUUCAUGACUUAUCUUUUAUUAUAUAAUAUUUUUGUAUUAAAAUUUUUGAUGUUAUAUUAUCAACUUUAAAUUAUUGUAUCUUUAUGAAAUUUUUGUGGAUUAUAACAUUAUAAAUACUUAAUGGAUACUCCUUUAUCUGGCAUACUUUGUUUUUAAAUCGAAUCAUUUCCCUUUAUACAGGAGGGUUCAAAACUUAAAAUAUACGAGUAAAAAGUAGAACUUUUGAAAAUACUCUAAAAUACUACCGUAGUAAUUCAGAAGUCUUUUAUAAUUAAAAUUAAUGACUGGAGGUGAGGAAUGGGUGUUGCUGUUUUUGUCACUAGUCAUUUCCCAAUGAUACUCUUCCUCCCGCCUACGUAUAAAAAUGAAAAUAACUAUAAUGAUUAUUUCUUCUAUGUUUUGUUUAAGUUAUUAAUGUUAAUGGUCUUAUAAUUCGAACAGUACAACCUUAAAAUGUAUAGUAUUGUCUAUUUUAAAAAUAGAAUUCCACUGUUUUCCAGUAGUAAAGUACAGUAAUAUAUAGAUGUCCUACGAUAUUCUAACAAACCCACGUACUAUUCUUAUGGCAAAUUGUCAGAAAAUCGUGGGACACCUAUUUAUCACAUGUAUUAGCUGUUUUAUGCAAGAUAAAAAUUAACAUAAACAUCAGUUUAAAAUUUUCUGUGAGUUUUAUUAUGGUUAUAAAACAAUAUAAGUAAUUGAUACUCAAAUUUUAUAAAUUAUAUCAUAAAUCUUAUUUUGUAUUUAAUAUACAGAGUGUUCAAUAAGUAAAGAAACAGUCUAAUUGUUACAAACAAUGAGAACAAUAGAAACCCGUUUCCUUACUAUAUACUAUAAAAAAUAUAAUAUGGUGUAAAAUUAAUUUUUCUAAAAAAUUUAAUUCAAGUAUGUGUAAGAAAUCACAAAAUAUUCCGAGUUUGUCCUCAAUAAACUUCUUCCUAUUUUUCCUCGCUUUAAUCCCAACUACUUGGGGUCGGCCACCCUUAUCCUAAACUUCCACUUGACACGAUCUCUCACAUAAUCUACGUACACAUCAGUCAUCCUCAUAUUGCAUUCAAAAACAUCACUCCAUCUCAUUUUUUGGUCUUCCUCUACCUCUUCUUCCUUUAACAUUCAUUCCAUAACUGUUUUCAUAAUUUUCGAUUCCUAUCUCCUUAUAACAUGACCAAACCAUCUAAGUCUAUUUUCUAUCAUUUUAUCCGCGAUUGAUGCUACACCUGUACUCCCUCUUAUAUGCGGGUUCCUUAUCCUAUCUUCUCUAGUCAUUCCACUCAUUCAUCUAAGCAUUCUCAUCUCUGCUUCACUCAUUCUCUGUUCUAUUAUCUUGUCAACCACCCAACACUCUGAACCAUACAUCAUAACUGGUUUCACUAGUCUUAAAAAACUAACCUUUUA